rnacentral:tRNA from 2 species
AAGGAAGGACAGAAAACAGUAAGCACUGCUAAUUCUUACGCUCCAAGG